GCUCAAAUUUGAAAUCUUCAAGGGUUUCCCUUUACGAAUUGUAGUUUAAAGAAGUGUUUUCUGUUGAGGUUUUGGUAAAAGUUCUUUGGAAUAGGACAUCAUAGAGGGUGAGAAUCCCGUAUUUGACCUUUACUUUCAACUUUGUGACACACUUUCAAAGAGUCGGAUUGUUUGGGAAUGCAGUCCAAAAUGGGUGGUAAAUUUCAUCUAAAGCUAAAUAUUGGCGAGAGACCGAUAGCGAACAAGUACCGAGAGGGAAAGAUGAAAAGAACUUUGAAAAGAGAGUUAAACAGUACGUGAAAUUGUCAAAAGGGAAGCGUUUGACACCAGUGUUGUUUUUCUGAAAAUCAAUUAAAGAACUGUUUAUGCUAAGCUGUUUAGACUUUAUCAGCUAACUGUUUAGUUUUGAGCUUUUCUUUAAUGCACUUUUCAGUUAACAAG
rnacentral:rRNA from 1 species